rnacentral:misc_RNA from 1 species
AAUCUUGAAUCAAUUUAAGCGGAUCACGUGGAAUCAAACACUAAAAUCUCAACCCCAAAAAAUAACAAUAAACUUCAGAUAUCAUGAAACAUUCUCCCUGCAAAUUUGGCAACAAGCAUCACUAAAUUCACAACAAAAAGAAAGAAAAUUGAGGCAUAUUAAGAAGUGGGUAUUUAGAUAUGCACCGAUCCAGAAGUCUCUCUUACUACAACAUUAAAUAUAAUUCUCAUCCACAGGUGGUGGCGGGGAAUUGUAAGUAACUAAGAGGAAAUGCUUAAAAGAAAAGGUGAAUUGAGCAGAUCUAAUUAAAAAGAAAGAAAGUAUGUUAAUUGUGUGUUUAUCUGCAAAUGGGUAUACUUUAACAGCAAUGUAAAAAAAAAUUAAAGAAAAAC